rnacentral:rRNA from 1 species
AUGAACGCUAGCUACAGGCUUAACACAUGCAAGUCGAGGGGCAUCAGGAAGAAAGCUUGCUUUCUUUGCUGGCGACCGGCGCACGGGUGAGUAACACGUAUCCAACCUGCCCUUUACUCGGGGAUAGCCUUUCGAAAGAAAGAUUAAUACCCGAUAGUAUAAUGAUUCCGCAUGUUUCCUUAUUAAAGGAUUCCGGUAAAGGAUGGGGAUGCGUUCCAUUAGGUUGUUGGUGAGGUAACGGCUCACCAAGCCUUCGAUGGAUAGGGGUUCUGAGAGGAAGGUCCCCCACAUUGGAACUGAGACACGGUCCAAACUCCUACGGGAGGCAGCAGUGAGGAAUAUUGGUCAAUGGGCGGUCGUGNAAACCAGCCAAGUAGCGUGAAGGAUGAAGGCUCUAUGGGUCGUAAACUUCUUUUAUAUAAGAAUAAAGUGCAGUAUGUAUACUGUUUUGUAUGUAUUAUAUGAAUAAGGAUCGGCUAACUCCGUGCCAGCAGCCGCGGUAAUACGGAGGAUCCGAGCGUUAUCCGGAUUUAUUGGGUUUAAAGGGAGCGUAGGUGGACUGGUAAGUCAGUUGUGAAAGUUUGCGGCUCAACCGUAAAAUUGCAGUUGAUACUGUCAGUCUUGAGUACAGUAGAGGUGGGCGGAAUUCGUGGUGUAGCGGUGAAAUGCUUAGAUAUCACGAAGAACUCCGAUUGCGAAGCAGCUCACUGGACUGCAACUGACACUGAUGCUCGAAAGUGUGGGUAUCAAACAGGAUUAGAUACCCUGGUAGUCCACACAGUAAACGAUGAAUACUCGCUGUUUGCGAUAUACAGUAAGCGGCCAAGCGAAACNAUUAAGUAUUCCACCUGGGGAGUACGCCGGCAACGUGAAACUCAAAGGAAUUGACGGGGGCCCGCACAAGCGGAGGAACAUGUGGUUUAAUUCGAUGAUACGCGAGGAACCUUACCCGGGCUUAAAUUGCAGUGGAAUGAUGUGGAAACAUGUCAGUGAGCAAUCACCGCUGUGAAGGUGCUGCAUGGUUGUCGUCAGCUCGUGCCGUGAGGUGUCGGCUUAAGUGCCAUAACGAGCGCAACCCUUAUCUUUAGUUACUAACAGGUCAUGCUGAGGACUCUGGAGAGACUGCCGUCGUAAGAUGUGAGGAAGGUGGGGAUGACGUCAAAUCAGCACGGCCCUUACGUCCGGGGCUACACACGUGUUACAAUGGGGGGUACAGAAGGCAGCUAGCGGGUGACCGUAUGCUAAUCCCAAAAGCCUCUCUCAGUUCGGAUCGAAGUCUGCAACCCGACUUCGUGAAGCUGGAUUCGCUAGUAAUCGCGCAUCAGCCACGGCGCGGUGAAUACGUUCCCGGGCCUUGUACACACCGCCCGUCAAGCCAUGGGAGCCGGGGGUACCUGAAGUACGUAACCGCAAGGAUCGUCCUAGGGUAAAACUGGUGACUGGGGC